rnacentral:rRNA from 1 species
UGAGAUGUUGGGUUAAGUCCCGUAACGAGCGCAACCCUUGUCCUUAGUUACCAGCACGUAAUGGUGGGCACUCUAAGGAGACUGCCGGUGACAAACCGGAGGAAGGUGGGGAUGACGUCAAGUCAUCAUGGCCCUUACGGCCUGGGCUACACACGUGCUACAAUGGUCGGUACAAAGGGUUGCCAAGCCGCGAGGUGGAGCUAAUCCCAUAAAACCGAUCGUAGUCCGGAUCGCAGUCUGCAACUCGACUGCGUGAAGUCGGAAUCGCUAGUAAUCGGAAUCAG